AGUUCCGUAGUGUAGUGUUUAUGUUGUUCGCUUCACACGCGAAAAGUCUCCGGUUUAAUCCCGGGCGGAACCA